rnacentral:rRNA from 1 species
GGACAACGUGCCCUAAAGUGGGGGAUAAUCAGGGGAAACUCUGGAUAAUACCCCAUAGAUCAUGAGAUCUGGAAUGACUUAUGGUUCAAAGUUCCGGCGCUUUAGGAUCGGUCUGCGGCCUAUCAGGUAGUAGUGGGUGUAAUGUACCCCCUAGCCUAUUACGGGUAUGGGCCUUGAGAGAGGGAGCCCAGAGUUGGAUUCUGAGACACGAAUCCAGGCCCUACGGGGCGCAGCAGUCGCGAAAACUUCACAAUGGGCGAAAGCCCGAUGAGGGAAUUCCUAGUGCUAGCACUUUUGUGUUAGCUUUUCUUUAGCGUAGAUAACUAGAGGAAUAAGGGCUGGGUAAGACGGGUGCCAGCCGCCGCGGUAAUACCCGCAGCCCGAGUGGUGGUCGAUUUUAUUGAGUCUAAAACGUUCGUAGCCGGUCUGAUAGAUCCUUGGGUAAAUCGGGGGGCUUAACUUUCCGACUUCCGAGGAGACUGUCAAACUUGGGACCGGGAGAGGCUAGAGGUACUUCUGGGGUAGGGGUAAAAUCCUGUAAUCCUAGAAGGACCACCGGUGGCGAAGGCGUCUAGCUAGAACGGAUCCGACGGUGAGGGACGAAGCCCUGGGUCGCAAACGGGAUUAGAUACCCCGGUAGUCCAGGGUGUAAACGCUGCCGACUUGGUGUUGGAGGCCCUUCGGGGGCAUUCAGUGCCGGAGAGAAGUUGUUAAGUCGGCCACUUGGGGAGUACGUCCGCAAGGAUGAAACUUAA